rnacentral:rRNA from 1 species
CAUAUCAAUAAGCGGAGGAAAAGAAACUAACAAGGAUUCCCCUAGUAACGGCGAGUGAAGCGGGAAAAGCUCAAAUUUGAAAUCUGGCAGUCUUCGAUUGUCCGAGUUGUAAUCUAUAGAGGCGUUUUCCGUGCCGGACCGUGUCCAAGUCUCCUGGAAAGGAGUAUCAAAGAGGGUGAUAAUCCCGUACUUAACACGACCCCCGGUGCUCUGUGAUACGUCUUCUACGAGUCGAGUUGUUUGGGAAUGCAGCUCAAAAUGGGUGGUGAAUUCCAUCUAAAGCUAAAUAUUGGCGAGAGACCGAUAGCGAACAAGUACCGUGAGGGAAAGAUGAAAAGCACUUUGGAAAGAGAGUUAAACAGUACGUGAAAUUGUUGAAAGGGAAACGAUUGAAGUCAGUCGUGUUCCUUGGAUUCAGCCAGUUCUGCUGGUCUACUUCCUUGGAACGGGUCAACAUCAGUUUCGUCCGGUGGAUAAAGGUAGUAGGAAUGUGACUUCCCCGGAAGUGUUAUAGCCUAUUGCCACAUACACUGGGUGAGACUGAGGACUGCAGCUCGCCUUUAUGGCCGGUCUUCGGACACGUUCGAGCUUAGGAUGUUGACAUAAUGGCUUUAAACGACCCGUCUUG